GUAUAAAACAACCUCCGAACGAUUAUAACCAAGAUUAACAAAUCGAAGUAAUCAUAAUCUAAUUGACCCAAUUUUUUGAUCAACGGACCA
rnacentral:rRNA from 1 species